AGGGAUGAAGCUUAUACAAGCAAUUAGCUGUUACCUAAUAGACAGUGAUAAAUCUCACCUACCCUA
rnacentral:tRNA from 1 species